rnacentral:misc_RNA from 1 species
AACUAACGCAUUUUUGUACAGUUCUGUACUAUAUUGGUAUGAGAAACUUCCAGAACUCUCAUGGUUCUCGGACAAAUUUUAAAACCAAAGCCUUCGGGCUUU